CUCUCUCUUUCUUGCAGGAUGAGCUGAAUCGGCUUGACUUUGACAAAAACGAAGGAAACCCACCACUCCUAAACAGAGAACAGGAAAGUCAUGCGCCGAGUGAGAGUUGGAGCAGUGGGCCUCGACGAGGCUCGUGCAGUGUUCCAAAGAGCAAGAAAAGACCCACCAUCCCCCAAGGUGAGCUGAAUCGGCUUGACUUUGACAAAAAUGGAGGAAACCCACCACCCAUAGACAGAGAGCAGGAAACCUAUCCCCCAGCGUGAGAGUUGGAGGAGUGGGCCUCGACGAGUCUUGUGCACUGUUCCAAAGAGCAAGAUAAGACCCACCAUCCCCCAAGGUGAGCUGAAUCGGCUUGACUUUGACAAAAAUGGAGGAAACCCACCACCCAUAGACAGAGAGCAGGAAAGCCAUCCCCCAGCGUGAGAGUUGGAGGAGUGGGCCUUGACGAGACUUGUGCAGUGUUCCAAAGAGCAAGAUAAGACCCACCAUCCCCCAAGUGAGUGUUGGAUGACCAGUGGCUCGCUUUCUCUUGAGAGUGAGGGGAAUCGGCUUGACUCUACAAAAAGAGGACAGACCCACCAUCCCCCAAGUGAGUGUUGGAACCACCAGUGACUCUUUGCCUUUUCUCUCUUUCUCUUUCUUCUCUCUCCUUCUUACAGGGUGAGCUGAAUCGGCUUGACUUUGACAAAAAUGGAGGAAACCCACCACCCAUAGACAGAGAGCAGGAAACCUAUCCCCCAGCGUGAGAGUUGGAGGAGUGGGCCUCGACGAGUCUUGUGCACUGUUCCAAAGAGCAAGAUAAGACCCACCAUCCCCCAAGGUGAGCUGAAUCGGCUUGACUUUGACAAAAAUGAAGGAAACCCACCACCCCUAGACAGAGAGCAGGAAAGCCAUCCCCCAGCGUGAGAGUUGGAGGAGUGGGCCUCGACGAGUCUUGUGCACUGUUCCAAAGAGCAAGAUAAGACCCACCAUCCCCCAAGUGACUAUUGGUUGUACAGUGCCUCUCUUGAGAGUGAGGGGAAUCGGCUUGACUCUCUAAAAAAGGACAGACCCACCAUCCUCCAAGUGAGUGUUGGAACGACCAGUGACUCUUUGCCUAUUCUCUCUUUCUAACCCCCCCUUUCUUACAGGGUGAGCUGAAUCGGCUUGACUUUGACAAAAAUGGAGGAAACCCACCACCCCUAGACAGAGAGCAGGAAAGCCAUCCCCCAGCGUGAGAGUUGGAGGACUGGGCCUUGACGAGGCUUGUGCAGUGUUCCAAAGAGCAAGAUAAAACCCAGACCAGCGAAGUGUUGGAUGACCAGUGGCUCGCUUUCUCUUGAGAGUGAGGUGAAUCGGCUUGACUCUACAAAAAGAGGACAGACCCACCACCAC